rnacentral:lncRNA from 1 species
UGACCACAGUAUUUCUGCUCUUUGUGUUUAACUACCUGGUAUAUAGCUAGCAUGAGUUAAAAAUAGUUAUUGCAUAAGUAAGAAGUUAUGAUCAUUUAAAUACACUAUGAUAGUAAACACAGAAGAGUAUCUUUGAGAGAUGGGACAGUUAAACAGCUUGGACUAAGACCCAAAGUUUUAUGGAAAGGUAAAGAAAGUAUUAAAGAACUUUUAUUUAAACCCAGUUGUGUAUUUUAUGAGACAAUAGCUAGAAGAUCAGCAAGGUAAUAAGUGUAUUUACCUCAAACUCAGCAAGCAUCAAUGGCAGAUUAAGGGUUAGAAUUCUUUUCCUAGCACAAGAAUCCUCCCAUAGCAUUAUCCUGCUUAUAUGAAAAGGAAAAGUCUACAGUAAGCAAAUGAAAAGAAAUAACAGAAUGAGUAGACCUACAGCAAACUCCAGGCCUGCUUAAAGACAACAAAGGGAUGAGAGUACUUCCAAAAACACCCCAGACUUGCCAAAAAUUAAGUCCUGCUGACAAGCAGUUCCUCAACCUCUGUGGGUUCAGUGAGAGAAUGUGUAACCAAGGGAGAAGAGAUAAAUUCCUCAAGUGCAGCGAGCAUGGGGCCAGGGGAGGAGAAGUGCAAUUUUCUGAACUGAGACACACCACAGAAGGAACAGGGAGUUUCCAACCAAGCCCAAAUCCUGCCAGCCUGCCUUCGGAUUGCCAGCCAACUCUGAUUCUCUGGUUGCUAUCACAGGCAAUUAAGAUGAGAAUCAGGAACAACAAAACGGCACAGCUUACCAAAAAGAAACAGGACUGGACAUAACAGAUUCAGCAAACAAGCAUCUGUACUGGGGUCUUUCCUCCUGCCAGUGUCAAUUCAGAUAUCCCCAAAUUCUACCUUUUCAUUCUCAUUUCUGAGUUGGGUGAGAUCUUGUGGUUCCUCCCAUUUAUCCUUCUAGGUACACAGAAUCACUUCUACUCAUUCAGCUUGAAUGUUCAUACUGUCCCGCCCUUCUUCCCCCAGUAGAGUGUGAUUCACUAACUCUUAACCGAAUCUGAGCAUGGAGAGGAGGCCUUAGGGCGUGGCUGCAGCUGGCCUUGUGAGCUUUUCCCAGACACCUAUUUUAAUGUACCAUGUGCUCUAACAUCCUGGACUUCUGAGAUCAUAAGUUAUUCUUCACAUUUUUACACCAUUGCUUGUUCUAUUUACUUACCGAGGAUAAGGGAAAAACAGUGAUUUUAGUUGGGAUAAUUUGUCAAAAUAAAAACUGGGACUAGGAACCUUAGGGAGUACCUCAGUGCUUGACAUACAGGCAUAAGGACCUGAAUUUGAAUCCCUAGCACUCAUGGAAAACUCUGUGUGUGUGUGUGUGUGUGUGCGUGCGCGUGCGUGUGCGUGUGCAUGUGUGUGUACUCUGUAACAUCAGCACUGAAGAGAGGUGAGUGAGAACAAGAGAAUAUGGGUUAGCUGGCCAGGAAAUCUAGCUAAACUGGUUAAUUUCAGGUUUAGUAAGAGAUUCUCAAAACUUAAUAUGGGGAGCGAUUGGGUAAUAUCCAUGGCCUUCACAUGCAAAUGAAAGACUCCGAGAGGAACCCCUCGCUCAGGCCUCAGGACAAAAGCGGACACCCAAGAACUCACGACAGACCGAGCUUGUUGCAAACGACAUGAGGCUUUAUUUGGAGAAAGCCAGAGCUCUGGGGACGACUCAUAUCCCACGCAGGGGUAGAGGAGUCGACCUCGAGGGGAAAGAGGUCCCAGUUUUUAUAGGCCCUCAGGGGGGAAAGGAGAAGGGGGAGAGUAGAGGAUUUCCAGAUCUAAACAAUGUCUAUUCUCAAGAAAUGGGUAUGGGAGGGGUACAAGGAAAGAGUCUAAUGAAGGUGCAGCAAUGGGCACACACUUGGUCAGAACAUUGGCAGACACACAGGUUCAAGGAGUGGCCAAAGCAUUGUGCACCUUUAUUUUUCUAAAUCAGUGAAGCUAGUUCUGCUAACACUGACGUCUAUCUUGCCAAUUUCAGGGCUUCUGUGUCCUUUUACAUUCUGCCAGAAUCUUUCACAAACAGACAGGCACACACAUACAACAUAUAUGCAUACAACACAUACACACAGAGAGACAUAAUAGUAACUAAAGUUAUACAUUAAAAUGUAAAAUGUUCUGUUGGACAGUAAAAGCAGACCAGGAAAUUUGGUAAGGUAGAUCAGGUUGAGACCUGGAGACUCUGUGGCACACACCCAAGACAUAGGCUACUCCCCCUCCCUGCCAGAUUCCUGGCCUGAAACAUGUGCUGUACUCCUCACGUAAGAAAACAUGCCUUAUGGCUACAUAGGCCCAGAGGGCUUAGCCAAUAAGCUUCCCUUCCCAGACAUUCCUUCCUGCAAAAGGUAUUUAAUCUCAGGUCUACCCUAAGAUGGGUAUGGUAUGAUAUAGUCUGCAUCCAUAUUCCACCAUGAACAGCCAAUAAACUGUUUAGAAUCAGGGACUGUCUCUUUCAUCAAGAUCUGCUGAGGGGAGCCAUGGAGAAGGAAUUUGCCUAUGGAGUCACAACUUAAUUCUCCUGUAGAAGGCCUCUCUGUGCUUCCAGGCAGAACUGCUACCAAGCCUGCCUCCACCAAGCCUGCCUCCACCAACCCUGUCUCCACCAAGCCUGCCUCCACCAAGCCUGCCUCCAAGGACUAUCACUGUCGGGACAAGCCAGAGCUCCUUUUCUCCUGGCCCUUGGGCCAUGGGGGUGGGAGGCUAGACAACAUUCCCAGCCUGAACGCCGCCCCCCCCCAACCCCCAAUCCAUUGUCAGUGAGUCUCCCAUUCUUGCCUGGAUGUCCAAGAGUCAGAGAAGCCCCUUGGUCCCAGCCGUGUCAAAGGUCCAGGGACCUCCAACCAGCUCUAGUGUUCUGACAUCUCACACUGAACUUUCCCACCCCAGAAAUCCGGUCUCCGUGAUUCCCUGAAGUCUGUCACCUGCCUGGCACAACAGUCAACACUCUGGAUUCUGCCUUCCUAAGAGACCAUGCCCAGCAAUGGGAAUGACAUGGACCCACAAUGUUCCCUCUUUGCUUAGCUUUUUAUUAGUUCAUUUUAAAUGAAAUAAUGGGUUUCUAUAAAAGAAUAAGUUUUAUUAUAACAUUUCAUCAUGUACACUUUUAAUGAUAAAUUGUAAUAUAUUCUACAAACACACACACACAAAACUAAAAGCAAUAUAAAUUUUUAAAAAUUAU